rnacentral:rRNA from 1 species
UACGAAGGGGGCUAGCGUUGCUCGGAAUCACUGGGCGUAAAGCGCACGUAGGCGGCUUCUUAAGUCAGGUGUGAAAUUUCGGAGCUUAACUCCGAAACUGCAUUUGAUACUGCGGUGCUUGAGGACUGGAGAGGAGACUGGAAUUCACGGUGUAGCAGUGAAAUGCGUAGAUAUCGUGAGGAAGACCAGUGGCGAAGGCGGGUCUCUGGACAGUUCCUGACACUGAGGCACGAAGGCCAGGGGAGCAAACGGG